AGCCAGCUCUAAUUCAUCAUUGCGUGGAAAAUCCUCCUCUCUCAACCAAAGUGUACCGAUGAACUCAUCUCUGAGACUGUCUCAAUGAUGUGCCACAAAGUAUCCAACGCAUCUAGAUAUACGCCCAUACACCUGUUCCACGUGGCAGAGCAAAGAUCCCCAGAGCGUGCCGUACAUGCUGUGAGAGGCGUUUGUACCGCUCAAUGACACCUGCUUUUCUUUUUCUUCUCUGCUUUGCUUCUAAAGUGUCGUACGGAAUUGUUUAUCCGGACGCACAAAUGCUGGAAAACAAUAACAAGGUUGCCUGAUAGAGCCCAAUCUAUAAAUAUUUUGGUAGUU
rnacentral:sRNA from 1 species